UAUUAGAGGCAUUGCCUGCCCAGUGACUAAAGUUAAACGGCCGCGGUAUCCUGACCGUGCAAAGGUAGCAUAAUCACUUGUUCCUUAAUUAGGGACUAGAAUGAAUGGCUAAACGAGGGUCCAACUGUCUCUUACUUUCAAUCAGUGAAAUUGACCUUCCAGUGAAGAGGCUGGAAUACCACAAUAAGACGAGAAGACCCUAUGGAGCUUUAAUUUAUUAGUUUAAUUUACACAAAAAUAACCUAAUGGACUAGAAUAGAUAAAAAUAAACUAAAAAUUUCGGUUGGGGUGACCUCGGAGAAUAAAAAAUCCUCCGAAUGAUUCUAGCCUAGACUCACAAGUCAAAGCAAUAUCAAUAUCUCAUUGACCCAAUUAUUGAUCAACGGACCAAGUUACCCUAGGGAUAACAGCGCAAUCCUAUUUAAGAGUUCAUAUCGACAAUUAGGGUUUACGACCUCGAUGUUGGAUCAGGACAUCCCAAUGGUGCAGAAGCUAUUAAUGGUUCGUUUGUUCAACGAUUAAAGUCCUACGUGAUCUGAGU
rnacentral:rRNA from 1 species